UCUGGGUCAGAGCGAACGCUGGCGGCCGGCUUAACACAUGCAAGUUGAGCGGGCGUAGCAAUACGUUAGCGGCAGACGGGUGAGUAACGCGUGGGAAAGUACCUUUUGGUUUGGAACAACACAGGGAAACUUGUGCUAAUACCGGAUAAGCCCCUUCGGGGAAAGAUUUAUUGCCGAAAGAUCGGCCCGCGUUUGAUUAGCUAGUUGGUAGGGUAAUGGCCUACCAAGGCGACGAUCAGUAGCUGGUUUGAGAGGAUGAUCAGCCACCUUGGGACUGAGACCCGGCCCCAACUCCUUCGGGAGGCAGCAGUGGGGAAUAUUGGACAAUGGGGGCAACCCUGAUCCAGCCCUGCCGCGUGAGUGAUGAAGGCCCUAGGGUUGUAAAGCUUUUUUGUGCGGGAAGAUAAUGACGGUACCGCAAGAAUAAGCCCCGGCUAACUUUGUGCCC
rnacentral:rRNA from 1 species